UUCACCAAACACCCAGCCUCGCCGGGCAAACAAUACAGAACUAGCCCUGUAACGUAUCAGAAAACGUCAUUGGAAAAUGGGCCAACGAUCUAAACGUAUGCGUAAUCAGUUUGCCCCUCUUUUUCUACACGGUAGGUUUUGGAAGAUUUUAUCGAGACAGUAAACUAGAUGGUAAAACGUGCAGAAUGGCUCCAGGAUAUCCCCAUGGUGAUGAGAAAUGCCAAGCGUAGCUGUCAAAUGUGGAACUGAUGCUGUGAACACUUUUUCCCUAUUCAGAAAUACUGGCUGGCCCCAAACCGUUGCAGGUUCUGCUCACACCCAGGGAAGAAGGAAAAAGGAAAUUCUUUGGCCCAGGGUCUCAUGUAACCUAAGCUGGCUCUGAACUUACUGUGAUACAGCCAAGAAUGACCCUGAACUUGUCUACCUUCAGACUGGAAUUACAGCCUGUGCCCAUGUCUGGUUUUGAACUCCACACACACUAGGUCGGCUCCAUCAACAGAGAUUCAGCCCAAGAUUACCCAAUGACAUGUCCAGUUUCGCUAGAUACCGCUGAAGUAACUACCGACACAGAGAAUCCCAGUCUGUUUUUCUUCCAACUUAAUAUUCAGAGUUUAGUCCAUAAGAAACUAUAUACAGAAUUCUCACACAGGAUUCCAAGACCUAAAUUUAUCAAUCAUAAUUAGUUAGCUUUAUCAUUAUUAUUCAAUGGCAUGAAA